rnacentral:rRNA from 1 species
CACGUAGGGCGCAAGCGUUGUCCGGAAUUAUUGGGCGUAAAGAGCUCGUAGGCGGCCUGUUGCGUCCGCUGUGAAAACCCGGGGCUUAACCCCGGGCUUGCAGUGGAUACGGGCAGGCUGGAGGCAGGCAGGGGAGAACGGAAUUCCCGGUGUGAGCGGUGAAAUGCGCAGAUAGUCGGGAGGAACACCGGUGGCGAAGGCGGUUCUCUGGACCGAGACUGACGCUGAGGCGCGAAAGCGUGGGGAGCAAACAGG